rnacentral:rRNA from 1 species
CAGCAGCCACGGUAAUACCAGCACCUCGAGUGGUCAGGAGGUUUAUUGGGCCUAAAGCAUCCGUAGCCGGUUGCAUAAGUUUUCGGUUAAAUCUAUGCGCUUAACGUAUAGGCCGCCGAAAAUACUGUGCAGCUAGGGAGUGGGAGAGGUACACGGUACUCGAUAGGAAGGGGUAAAAUCCUUUGAUCUAUUGAUGACCACCUGUGGCGAAGGCGGUGUACCAGAACACGUUCGACGGUGAGGGAUGAAAGCUGGGGGAGCAAACCGGAUUAGAUACCCCCGUAGUCCCUGUCUCUUAUAC